GACGAACGCUGGCGGCGUGCUUAACACAUGCAAGUCGAGCGGUAAGGCUCCUUCGGGAGUACACGAGCGGCGAACGGGUGAGUAACACGUGAGCAAUCUGCCCUUCACUUUGGGAUAACUCCGGGAAACCGGUGCUAAUACCGAAUGCGACCACUUCAGGCAUCUGACGGUGGUGGAAAGUUCCGGCGGUGAAGGAUGAGGCUCGCGGCCUAUCAGCUUGUUGGUGAGGUAAUGGCUCACCAAGGCUUCGACGGGUAGCCGGCCUGAGAGGGUGACCGGCCACACUGGGACUGAGACACGGCCCAGACUCCUACGGGAGGCAGCAGUGGGGAAUAUUGGACAAUGGGCGAAAGCCUGAUCCAGCAACGCCGCGUGAGGGAUGACGGCCU
rnacentral:rRNA from 1 species